UUUUAAAAAGUAUCACUUUAAAUACGAUCUGCUCACUGUAUCAUAAAUAGCCGCAGUAACUUCACUGUGCUAAGGUAGCAUAAUCAUUAGCCUUUUAAUUAAAGGCUAGAAUGAACGAUCCCKCAAUUUAAUUUCUUUUUUUUUCAAAAAUAAUUUAAUUUAAAUUAAAAAUAAAAAUGUUUUUAUAAAAUAGAAAGACGAUAAGACCCUAUUGAACUUUACUUAAGUUUAGCUGGGGAAGCUGUUUAAAAACAAUUUUAAAUAUAUUUUUAAAAAAAAAUUCCAAUAAAAUUGAUAAAAACAAGUUACCAUAGGGAUAACAGCGUAAUAUUUUUUAAAAGCUCUUAUUAAAAAAAAAGUUUGCGACCYCGAUGUUGAAUUAAUUUUACUUUAAAAUGCAAUUAUUUUAAUAGUAGGUCUGUUCGACCUUUAAACAAUUACAU
rnacentral:rRNA from 1 species